rnacentral:rRNA from 1 species
CAGUAGCCGCGGUAAUACGAAGGGGGCUAGCGUUGUUCGGAUUUACUGGGCGUAAAGGGCGCGUAGGCGGGCUUCUCAGUCAGGGGUGAAAUCCCAAGGCUCAACCUUGGAACUGCCUUUGAUACUGGAAGUCUUGAGUUCGAGAGAGGUAAGUGGAACUGCGAGUGUAGAGGUGAAAUUCGUAGAUAUUCGCAAGAACACCAGUGGCGAAGGCGGCUUACUGGCUCGAUACUGACGCUGAGGCGCGAAAGCGUGGGGAGCAAACAGGAUUAGAUACCCCUGUAGUCCCUGUCUCUUAUAC